rnacentral:rRNA from 1 species
AUGCAUAAGCUCGUAAAUGUUCAUUAUUUGGACAAGUCGACAUUUAUGCUUGGAAAUGACGAUGAAGGGGAAGAGGCUAUGGUUUUUGACACAAGUCCAAGCUUUGAUGAUCUUGUAGUUAAAGUGAGAAGCGUUUUACAUUGGAAUGACUCAAAUGCCGUGGUUAAGCUUAUUGGGAGGUAUGACGUUGGAUUGGAAAUAAAUUCCCGAUUAAAGAGUAUGUCCAUCACCUCCCAAUUGCAUUGGAAUGUGUACAAGGAAAAAGUAGACGCAUCACAAGACAAGUCUCUUGAGAUCUUUGCCACAAAGGUUGAUCCUCCUCCUCCUUUGCAAAUUGAUCUCAACCGCAAUGCAUCCUCCCCCAGACAUGAUGAUAGUGCCGAGGUGUAUGUCCCCAAUUGUUCUAGCCAACCACCAAGUAGCCAACCC